AUUGAACGCUGGCGGCAGGCUUAACACAUGCAAGUCGAGCGGUAGCACAAGAGAGCUUGCUCUCUGGGUGACGAGCGGCGGACGGGUGAGUAAUGUCUGGGAAACUGCCUGAUGGAGGGGGAUAACUACUGGAAACGGUAGCUAAUACCGCAUAACGUCGCAAGACCAAAGAGGGGGACCUUCGGGCCUCUUGCCAUCAGAUGUGCCCAGAUGGGAUUAGCUAGUAGGUGGGGUAAUGGCUCACCUAGGCGACGAUCCCUAGCUGGUCUGAGAGGAUGACCAGCCACACUGGAACUGAGACACGGUCCAGACUCCUACGGGAGGCAGCAGUGGGGAAUAUUGCACAAAGGGCGCAAGCCUGAUGCAGCCAUGCCGCGUGUGUGAAGAAGGCCUUCGGGUUGUAAAGCACUUUCAGCGAGGAGGAAGGUGGUGAACUUAAUACGUUCAUCAAUUGACGUUACUCGCAGAAGAAGCACCGGCUAACUCCGUG
rnacentral:rRNA from 1 species